UACGUAGGGAGCGAGCGUUGUCCGGAAUCAUUGGGCGUAAAGAGCGCGUAGGCGGAUCAAUUAGUCUGCUGUGAAAGUCAAAGGCUCAACCUUUGAAAGCCGGUGGAUACUGUUGAUCUAGGGUACGGAAGAGGCGAGUGGAAUUCCUGGUGUAGCGGUGGAAUGCGCAGAUAUCAGGAGGAACACCAAUAGCGAAGGCAGCUCGCUGGGACGUUACUGACACUGAGGCGCGAAAGCGUGGGGAGCAAACAGG
rnacentral:rRNA from 1 species